rnacentral:rRNA from 1 species
AUUGAACGCUGGCGGCAUGCCUUACACAUGCAAGUCGAACGGCAGCGCGGACUUCGGUCUGGCGGCGAGUGGCGAACGGGUGAGUAAUACAUCGGAACGUACCCUGUUGUGGGGGAUAACUAGUCGAAAGAUUAGCUAAUACCGCAUACGACCUGAGGGUGAAAGUGGGGGACCGCAAGGCCUCACGCAGCAGGAGCGGCCGAUGUCUGAUUAGCUAGUUGGUGGGGUAAAGGCCCACCAAGGCGACGAUCAGUAGCUGUCUGAGAGGACGAUCAGCCACACUGGGACUGAGACACGGCCCAGACUCCUACGGGAGGCAGCAGUGGGGAAUUUGGGGCAAUGGGGGCAACCCUGAUCCAGCAAUGCCGCGUGUGUGAAGAAGGCCUUCGGGUUGUAAAGCACUUUUGUCCGGAAAGAAAUCGCGCUGGUUAAUACCUGGCGUGGAUGACGGUACCGGAAGAAUAAGCACCGGCUAACUACGUGCCAGCAGCCGCGGUAA